UACGUAGGUGGCAAGCGAUACUCGGAAUCACUAGGCGUAAAGCGCAGGUAGGCGGUUUGGUAAGUCUCUUGUGAAAGCUCCCGGCUCAACUGGGAGAGGUCAAGGGAAACUACCAAGCUAGAGUGUGGUAGGGGAUACUGGAAUUCCUGGUGUAGCGGUGAAAUGCGUAGAUAUCAGGAGGAAUACCUAUGGCGAAAGCAGGUAUCUGGGCCAUCACUGACGCUGAGCUGCGAAAGCUAGGGGAGCAAACAGG
rnacentral:rRNA from 1 species